UCUCUCUGAAUCUGCGAACGGCUCCGCAAACCAGUUGUAAACUAUAGCAAGUAAGCCCGGGCUCCUUCUCACGAGGGGGUUCGGGUGAUAUGGAUAACCCUGGUAAUUCUGAGGCUAAUACGAGAACGUAAUACUCGACGGACCGGUGCAAACUGGGAAGUUGGGAGACGUGCAACUAGAAGUCGCGGGAAACGCCGGGAAAGGAUGCACGCCUGGACCGCUAUUCAAAACGGAUGACCUACACUUGCCCUUCACUGGGCCGGAGGAAGUUGCCCGAGCGGCUCUUGCAAUGUGCUUCUGACCUAUCAACUAGACGGCAGCGUAAAGGACAUGCUAUGGUUACAACGGGUACAGAGGAUUAGGGUUCGAUCCUGGAGAGUGGGCCUGAGAGAUU
rnacentral:rRNA from 1 species